CAAGAACAUUCCAUCGGGCCAUCUUGUCACUGCAGGACAUGGAGCAAGUUCUGUCUCCACGGCCAGGCUUCACUCGGAGCAGCCCCACCUGAUGAAACGCAGCACCAGGCUUCCCGGAGUCUCCAGCUUCUCCAGGCUUGGAGAUUUGAUCAUGACGGAAUGCCUGAACACGAGAGCCUGACUCAUACUAAUAAAACUCGUAAGACAAACCACGGGAGACAUCACAUCUUAAAAGAUUACCAGCAAAAUUUCCAGAAGAUUUUAAGAUGAACAGAGCGUUGCCAACUUCUUAUUCCAUUAAGUAAGACCUUUCAAAAUCACAAUUACCAGCUGGGCACAGUGGCUCAUACUGUAAUCCCAGCACUUUGGGAGGCUGAGGCAGGUGGAUCAC